rnacentral:rRNA from 1 species
UCUGGGAGUAAACGGGUGGUACCCGAAAGUUCGAAAGGGGAGAUUCAAGUCUCGCCGCGCGCUGGGCGGUGGACGCGAACAGGGAUGGUGAUCUCGCGGUCGAGGGGCGACUCUCGGUCCGUAGGGUGAACCACUCCGCGGCCGCCGUGUCUCCCAGCGUCGGAGUGACGCACUUCUCCCCGAGUAGUACGUCGCGACCCGUCGGGCGCCGGCCUAAGGUCCCGGGAGGAGUCUGUGCAGUCUGCGAAAGCCGACCGCGCACGACCUCGGGAAUCCUGGCCGGGAGCUCGACGGUAGGAAGCUCGGGAGGAGUCGACGCGCCAAACUUUCGGCGUCCGGCCCUCCGCAAGCGCCCGCGGGAGUCUGUGACUUGUGCCUCGCACGAUCACGGUCCCUCUGCGGGGCUGUUUGCGAUUCGGAGGUGUUCUCGGAUGGCGUUGAUUUCCUCAGUCGGCGACGCUUCAGCUUGGAUGGCCUACCCGACCC